ensembl:lncRNA
AGAUUUUUCUCAUUCCCUGCCUGUGUGUAUGUAUAUAUAUUAGUAUACGACUGUCUGUCUUUUAAUAAGUGUUAAAAGAGGAAAAGUUUUUACGACCCUUACCAAACUUAAUAAACGUUACAUACACACUCCAAAACAGGACAUACACAGUAAAAAGGUUGAGUUUUAACCUGAUGAGGAUUUUUAUCUUUGUAUUUGAAUGUGAUUAUAUGAGAGAGUGUUUAUUUGUAGAUCCUAGAUGGAUCUGAUGGUGAAAUUUCAUGCGACCAGUUAGAUGCUGAGUGUUUGCAUGUGCAUGUAGACGUAUAGGAACAAGUGUGUGUAUUUGUGUGUGUUAGAGGGUGGGUGUACCAGUGCAUGUCAGACAGCAAAGAGCCACAGUUAUAUAGGAAUCUCAGCCAAAAGAGCCUCACAAACAGAAGAGAGCAUACAGGACAGUGAGAGAUAGAGAAGAUCAAAUAAAAGAGAAAAACAGGAGAGACUCUGAUGAGCACAUACAGUAGUGAGAAAGAAAGAUAAUGUGUAGGACUUGAUAGACUGCAGAUGAUACUGAUCUGAACACCUAGAGAAAAUCCUAUUGAAGAUAAGUAGUAUAAAGUAGAUACCGGUAGAAUAGAUAGAGAAAUAGACAAGGAAGAGGUACAUACUAUCUCUUUGAGCUUGUGUGUUGUCCUGAGCAGCAUGCGUGUGUGUGUGUGUGUGUGUGUGUGUGUGUGUGUGUGUGUGUGUGUGUGUUUUUGCCCUUGCUUUUGCUGGAAGCGUACAUGAUGUGUGUCCGUGUGCUUUGUCAGAGGGACAUCCUGGUGGCUGGGCCACCCAACGGCAGAUGUGAGGGAAGCUGCAGUGCAACAGAAUUACCCCCUAAAAUACAUCACACUCACUCUCAGGAUUCACAAGUUAGAAAGACUCCAGAGAACCACAAAAACACACAGCCCGUGUGUGACAUGGUUUCAGCUGGUGGGGGAUGAGCGGUGUUGAUGAACAAACUGACUUUAAACCGAACCUGGCAGGAGUACCUUGAUGGAUUCGGCUCCCCGCAGACAGAGAACUGGUUAGGGAAUGCAGUUCUGCACUAACCGCCAAUGGGCAUCACACGCUCCGUAUCACUCUCCAAGACUGGGAUGAACAGACACGUCAUGCUAACUAUAACAACUUUAAAGUGGCAGUAGUAAACCAGAGGUAUAUACACACAUAGUCAUACUAGUAUCUGGUGUAAGACUAGUGUCAAAGCAGAGUCUCAACAAACCUGUAUAAAAUAGGCCUAGUUCAGUUUCUUAUUAUGAUGCAUGUGUGAUAUUCUCUCCAUAAGGUUCUGCCUAACUGCUUGAGAUUACCAUGACGAUGCUGGCAAACAGUACAACCACGAUGGCAGAGUUUUCAGCACAUUUGUAACUGUGGCCAUUAUUAUGGUGCAGGCUGGUGGUUUGAUUCCUGUUUGGUCACUUACAUCAAUGGGCACUACUAUCAUGGGCAUUACAGUGGCAUCACGGAUGGCAUCUACUGGGGCACCUGGUAUAUCCUAACUGACUAUCACACAGGGGAAAGAUACUCAUUUAAGAGUGUUGAAAUGAAAACUAGACCAAAGCGGAGUUAAGGAAAACUUUUUUUUAAAUGACAAAUCCUUGUCAUGUAAUCAUACUCUUGCACUAUUUCAUUGUAGUAUUUCAUUUCAAUAAUGGGUUGUAAUUAUAUAACCUUGACCUGCCAUUAAACUUGAGAUUUUUAGAUAAUUGUAUGAUAUGAGAACAUAUUUAUAAACAUUUGUUCUAAAAUAAAUGUCAUAUUUUAAGCACUCUUUUACUCAGCAUAUAUAAUACAUUUUCAGUUACAGCUGCUCUUUUAAGACACAAAUGAACUAUUAAGCUUUUCAUGCUGCAAAUACAAUUUUUUUUUUUACAUGGUCUUUAUUUAUUUUCCAAAUGUGUGUUACUGAUCUUGUUGUGAACAAUUCAUCUGUAUAUAUGUUUAUUUUCUUAAUCUCAUAAUUCUUAAAAUAUCAUGACUGAAUCUUCCAGUGAAACAACAGGUGACGCAUGCAAUUAUUCUCCAAUCAUUUAAUCUGCUUAAAUCCCACCCCUUUCUUAUAAUUGACUACAGAAAAAAAAGAUGUUGCUGCUUUCUUUUAUUGUGAAGCUUAUUAAACAGUUCUCUAGAAUACUUUCACCCAAAUUCUUCUCUUGAAUGUUCUGCCAGUCAACUGAUUUACGACCGUGCAAAUUUUAAACGUUAAUUUCAGGGUCCUGAUCACCCCAUCAGAGUUUCUUCUGCUAUAAUGACCGGCUGACUGUAUUUUAUCUUUAUAGCUAAAAUCAUUCAUAAUGCAGAAAGGUCAAAGUUCAACAGGUCUAAGAUGGC